rnacentral:rRNA from 1 species
AUGCGUUUGUUGAGAUGGAUGUGUGGCCACACGAGGAAGGAUCGAGUCCGGAAUGAUGAUAUACGAGAUAGAGUUGGGGUAGCACCAAUUGAAGAGAAGCUUGUCCAACGUCGUCUGAGAUGGUUUGGGCAUAUUCAGCGCAGGCUUCCAAAAGCUCCAGUGCAUAGCAGAUGGCUAAAGCUUGCGGAGAAUGUCAAGAGAGGGCGGGGUAGACCGAAUUUGACAUGGGAGGAGUCCGUUAAGAGAGAUCUGAAGGAUUGGAGUAUCACCAAAGAGCUAGCUAUGGACAGGGGUGCGUGGAAGCUUGCUAUCCAUGUGCCCGAGCCAUGA